GUAGAAAACAGACUUCCAUUAUUAUCAGCUUUAAAGUUGACAAAAAGGAGAACGGCUGCAACAAAAGUGGACAAGAAGUGAUGAGGAGGAAGAGUGUGAGGAUGACGAGCAGAGAGAAGCCCCCCACAGAUGCCGUGACAACAACCAGAACUUGACCUUGGUCUGCCACAUCAGGUGCUGAAGGACAACACCAGGAAACACUGAAUGUACGGAGGAUGAAGUACUGCUUCGAGAAGAGAGCAUGAAGGAAGAGUGAGACGUUGGAGAUGGAAGCCGAAAGAGUGAGGUGAAAGUGAAUUGAAGCUGCAAAAUGUGGAACUUGAAGCCAAGCUAUUUCAACAUAAAUGGAGUGCUUCCCCACAAUAACCUCCUCUCCAGAGAUUAGUUUGCAUCCCAACUUCCUGCUGUCAGUCUGCAGGCCUCUGGCUGCCAGGUGACACACACACCUGACAUCUGCUACCCAGACGAUGAUGACAACCCAUGAGCACAACAUUUCCCCCUCAGAACGAUACCAACACAUGAAUAAUACGUCCCGCGGCUUUUAAAAAGGUGAACUCGCAAUCGUAAAAAAACAAAACAAAAAAAAAAGUCAAGUAAAAAUCAUGGCGGAUUGGUAACAAACGACUACAUUUGGACAAAUUCACUACCUUUUUGAAGCUGAAUAUAAUGAGGAUGAACUAAAACGUUUUUUUAAAAAUUACCACAAGGUGGGGUGAAAUUACCCUCUGCAUUUGACACAUCACCUUUGAUUCACCCCCUGGGAGGUGAGGGUAGCAGUGAGCAGCAGCGGUGGCCACGCUCAAGAAUCAUUUUGGUGAUUCAACCCCCAAUUCUAACCUUUGAUGCUGAGUGCCAAGCAGGGAGGUAAUGAGUCCCAUUUUUAUAGUCUUUGGUAUGACUCGGCUGGGGAUUUGAACUCACGACCUACAAAUCUCCAGGGCGGACACUCUAACCACAAGGCCACUGAGCUCUAUGCAUUGCCGGAACUUAUUUCCACAGCGCAUUUAUUUCCGUUUCCGUAGCAGCGCACUUUCCACUUUUGGCAACAUGAGUGUUCCUACUUCAGGAAACAAAAGUGAGUGUGUUUUCUAAUCAUGGAAGACUUGGUAACAAACAACAAAGAUGAGUAUUUUUGGACAAAUAAUGAUUCAUGACCUUAUCUUUUUGAAGCUGAAUGUACGGAGGAUGAAGUACUGCUUCGAGAAGAGAGCAUGAAGGAAGAGUGAGACGUUGGAGAUGGAAGCCGAGAGAGUGAGGUGAAAGUGAAUCGAAGCUGCAAAAUGUAGAACUUGAAGCUAAGCUAUUUCAACAUAAAUGGAGUGCUUCCCCACAAUAACCUCCUCUCCAGAGAUUAGUUUGCAUCCCAACUUCCUGCUGUCAGUCUGCAGGCCUCUGGCUGCCUGGUGACACACACACCUGACAUCUGCUACCCAGACGAUGAUGACAACCCAUGAGCACAACAUUUCCCCCUCAGAACGAUACCAACACAUGAAUAAUACGUCCCGCGGCUUUUAAAAAGGUAAACUCGCAAUCGUAAAAAAACAACAACAAAAAAAGUUAAGUAAAAAUCAUGGCGGAUUGGUAACAAACGACUAUAUUUGGACAAAUUCACUACCUUUUUGAAGCUGAAUAUAAUGAGGAUGAACUAAAACGUUUUUUUAAAAAAUACCACAAGGUGGGGUGAAAUUACCCUCUGCAUUUGACACAUCACCUUUGUUUCACCCCCUGGGAGGUGAGGGUAGCAGUGAGCAGCAGCGGUGGCCACGCUCGGGAAUCAUUUUGGUGAUUCAACCCCCAAUUCUAACCUUUGAUGCUGAGUGCCAAGCAGGGAGGUAAUGAGUCCCAUUUUUAUAGUCUUUGGUAUGACUCGGCCGGGGAUUUGAACUCACGACCUACAAAUCUCCAGGGCGGACACUCUAACCACAAGGCCACUGAGCUCUAUGCAUUGCCGGAACUUAUUUCCACAGCGCAUUUAUUUCCGUUUCCGUAGCAGCGCACUUUCCACUUUUGGCAACAUGAGUGUUCCUACUUCAGGAAACAAAAGUGAGUGUGUUUUCUAAUCAUGGAAGACUUGGUAACAAACAACAAAGAUGAGUAUUUUUGGACAAAUGAUGAUUCAUGACCUUAUCUUUUUGAAGCUGAAUGUACGGAGGAUGAAGUACUGUUUCGAGAAGAGAGCAUGAAUGAAGAGUGAGACGUUGGAGAUGGAAGCCGAGAGAGUGAGGUGAAAGUGAAUCGAAGCUGCAAAAUGUAGAACUUGAAGCCAAGCUAUUUCAACAUAAAUGGAGUGCUUCCCCACAAUAACCUCCUCUCCAGAGAUUAGUUUGCAUCCCAACUUCCUGCUGUCAGUCUGCAGGCCUCUGGCUGCCAGGUGACACACACACCUGACAUCUGCUACCCAGACGAUGGUGACAACCCAUGAGCACAACAUUUCCCCCUCAGAACGAUACCAACACAUGAAUAAUACGUCCCGCGGCUUUUAAAAAGGUAAACUCGCAAUCGUAAAAAAACAAAAAUAUAAAAAGUUAAGUAAAACUCAUGGCGGAUUGGUAACAAACGACUAUAUUUGGACAAAUUCACUACCUUUUUGAAGCUGAAGAUAAUGAGGAUGAACUAAAAAGUUUUUAAAAAUUACCACUAGGUGGGGUGAAAUUACCCUCUGCAUUUGAUACAUCACUUUUGUUUCACCCCCUGGGAGGUGAGGGUAGCAGUGAGCAGCAGCGGUGGCCACGCUCGGGAAUCAUUUUGGUGAUUCAACCCCCAAUUCCAACCUGAGUGCCAAGCAGGGAGGUAAUGAGUCCCAUUUUUACGGCCAGGGUUUGAACCUACCAAUCUCAGGGCAGACACUCUAACCACAAGACCACUGAGCAGGCUCUACUGUUACUUGCUACUUAUAAAUAAUAUGUAAUAUGUUUAAUAUUUAGCGUAUUUUGGUCAUUUCAUGCAUUGCCUUAACUUAUUUCCUAAGCGCAUUUAUUUCUGUUUCCGUAGCCGCGCACUUUCCACUUUUGGCUACAUGUGUGUUCCUACUUCAGGAAACAAACGUGAGUGUGUUUUCUAAUCAUGGAAGACUUGCUAACAAUCAAGUCAAAGUAAAGAGCAGAAAAAACAGCACUGAGUUGUAGAGCACACUCCAGGCCUGAAGGGGCAACAGAGAGAGCUGAGGACUGAACAUCUCCACCUGCUUCCAACAGAUUGGCUUGAUUGAGUUCACCUGUUCACCUGCUCAGAGCUCAUGCUUAAAAUGUUUGAGCUUCAUUCAGUCACCCUUUUUGACCUUUGACUUGCUGCUAAGAGGAAGGAAGACAGUUUCUGUGCGGACUCAGAAGACACAACUGCUUCUCCUUGGUUUAUGCUGAUCCAUCAAUUAUUCAAUCCGUAUCGGUCCCCGUGGAACAGAAAGUUCAGGUUUCCAGUGAACCUUCGGUUCCUAAUUCGAGGCCGGGACAAAGCACCGCGGAGGAUUGCGCGCCGUAUCUGACCUCCGAUCAGCAGGGAUCUGCAAAUGAAGACAAAGUUCAGGCCGCGAUGGCCGAUCCCGGCGCCGAAAUGGACUUGGCCUUUUGACUUCAUCAGCAGAAUAAAGGAAGCCAGGAAGGGGAGAAGGCAGCCGAUACCCAGGAUGAUAUCGUCAGUCCAUCACAGAGAACACAGAAGCCAGGCAGUAACAUAUUAGCCUACUAUCAAAAGCCUUACAUAAAUGUUAUCAUGAAAACAACACAUCAUGUUUCUAGAGUAGCGAUACUGGCCUACUAUCAAAAUGA